GGCCAACUCUCACAGGAGUCUUCCAGCUUCUGACCUUAUGCGGUGUCUUUCUAAACUCCCCCGACCGUCUGAGCCUCCAUAAUACCAUCCAGACUCCUCCAGCAGUCGACCUUCCAUAGUGCCCUCCAGAUUCCUCCAACGGACGAACUCCUAUCGUGCCAUCCGGACUUCUCCGAUAACGAACUCCUUCAAUCAUCUACCAGACUGCUCCAAAUGCUCUCUAGGCUUCAUUAUCAGUCGACUUUCUAC
rnacentral:lncRNA from 1 species